UUGAACGCUGGCGGCAGGCCUAACACAUGCAAGUCGAGCGGUAGAGAGAAGCUUGCUUCUCUUGAGAGCGGCGGACGGGUGAGUAAUGCCUAGGAAUCUGCCUGGUAGUGGGGGAUAACGUUCGGAAACGGACGCUAAUACCGCAUACGUCCUACGGGAGAAAGCAGGGGACCUUCGGGCCUUGCGCUAUCAGAUGAGCCUAGGUCGGAUUAGCUAGUUGGUGGGGUAAUGGCUCACCAAGGCGACGAUCCGUAACUGGUCUGAGAGGAUGAUCAGUCACACUGGAACUGAGACACGGUCCAGACUCCUACGGGAGGCAGCAGUGGGGAAUAUUGGACAAAGGGCGAAAGCCUGACCCAGCCAUGCCGCGUGUGUGAAGAAGGUCUUCGGAUUGUAAAGCACUUUAAGUUGGGAGGAAGGGCAGUAAAUUAAUACUUUGCUGUUUUGACGUUACCGACAGAAUAAGCACCGGCUAACUCUGUG
rnacentral:rRNA from 1 species